UACGUAGGGGGCGAGCGUUGUCCGGAAUUACUGGGCGUAAAGGGCGCGUAGGCGGCCCGUUAAGUCUGCGGUGAAAGCCCGGGGCUCAACCCCGGAGGGUCCGCGGAGACUGGGGGGCUGGGGGGUCGGAGAGGAGCGGGGAAUCCCGGGAGUAGCGGUGGAAUGCGUAGAGAUCCGGGGGAACACCGAUGGCGAAGGCACCGCUCUGGCCGACGACCGACGCUGAGGCGCGAAAGCUGGGGGAGCGAACGGG
rnacentral:rRNA from 1 species